rnacentral:lncRNA from 1 species
GCCACUUGAAAGGAGGGAGAGAGAGAGAGAGAGAAGAUGGGAAGGAAGAGACAAUUGGAGACUCAUGCAACCCUAUACCCAUGUGCAAAAGAUCUCUCUAAUGGAGACGAGUGCCAAAAUAGUUAAAGGUUCUUGCUGCAUCAUUCCUCAUCAUUUCUGUGCUAUUUAACUUAGAGCCGGUACCGCACCUCCUAAGAUUAGAGUAGAG